rnacentral:rRNA from 1 species
UGCCGCGUGCAGGAUGAAGGCCCUCGGGUUGUAAACUGCUUUUGUACGGAACGAAAAGACUCUCUCUAAUAAAGAGGGUUGAUGACGGUACCGUAAGAAUAAGCACCGGCUAACUACGUGCCAGCAGCCGCGGUAAUACGUAGGGUGCGAGCGUUAAUCGGAAUUACUGGGCGUAAAGCGUGCGCAGGCGGUUAUGUAAGACAGAGGUGAAAUCCCCGGGCUCAACCUGGGAACGGCCUUUGUGACUGCAUGGCUAGAGUGCGGCAGAGGGGGAUGGAAUUCCGCGUGUAGCAGUGAAAUGCGUAGAUAUGCGGAGGAACACCGAUGGCGAAGGCAAUCCCCUGGGCCUGCACUGACGCUCAUGCACGAAAGCGUGGGGAGCAAACAGGAUUAGAUACCCUGGUAGUCCACGCCCUAAACGAUGUCAACUGGUUGUUGGGAAUUAACUUUCUCAGUAACGAAGCUAACGCGUGAAGUUGACCGCCUGGGGAGUACGGCCGCAAGGUUGAAACUCAAG